CAACAAUAUUCCAGGAACACGUUUAUGAUGGUUUAGAACAACGCAUUGUGACAUUCUUUCACCUUUAUCAAAGGCCAUAUUUGGAAACCAGAUGUAGGGAUAUAUUUCAGCUAGUUCUUCAGUAGUGAAGACAAAUUCAUUGCACGUACAGACUCUGAAAACAUAGCAUAAUGGCACGAGGUUUUGUUUGGCUUUGAAACAAGCAGAAAUAAACAGCGCACACCCACCCCAAAACUCUCCAUUGCUUUGGUGUAGCCAGUUAGGCUGGAAGGAGCCCAAGAAAACAGUCCACAUUUACAACAUCUGCAGCUUCAGUCUGCAACAGUGUACAGUAACAGAGUCAGUGACAGUGUGUGACAAUGACCUGUGGGACCAAGAAGUGAUUCCCCCAACCAACAGGGAAGAAACAGGCAAUAUGGAAGGAAGGACUGAGAGGAAAGAUGGUGUUUGGAUAAGGUUACCCGCAGCAACUGGAUAUUAG
rnacentral:lncRNA from 1 species